rnacentral:lncRNA from 1 species
UGAUGCUCUGCUCUAUCUCGAUGCUCUACCUGCAUCUGCUCUAUCUGCUGCAGACCUUUAGCACCCAUCAGACAUUCUCCUGAUGGCUGCCAAGGCCCCUCAUGGUUUUCUCUGCUGCUCGGCCUCUGUCUGCUCCAAGGUCUCUGUCGAUUGCUACCACCAAGCUAUGCUUUGUUUUGCCCACAGGAUUUUAAAGGCAUCAAAAAUUGGACUAUCAGAAUC